UCCCUGGGACUGAGGAGGCAGAAUGGAGGGGCCCUAACUCCUCUCUGUUCUCCAGAGCGCAGAUGUUCUGUGUUUUACGGGGCACCAAGUAAGAGCAGACUCUUGGCCACUUUGUGUUCUGCUGAAGUCUGCCAGUGUGCUGAGGGGAAGUGCCCUCGCCAGCGUCGCGCCCUGGAGCGGGGUCUGCAGGACGAGGAUGGCUACAGGAUGAAGUUUGCCUGCUACUACCCCCGUGUGGAGUACGGUCAGUCUUCCCACCGAGGCCCUGGCCUGACCCUCCCUCGGGGACCGGCUGUUUUGGUCUCUCCGGGUGUAGCCUGCUCCUCUUACAGGUCAUGCACAUAGCCUGUUUGCUCUGACACCAACUUCCUACCCUCUCAGCCUCAAACUCACCUUUCCCCCUUCUCCUCACCCACUCUUAGGCUUCCAGGUUAAGGUUCUCCGAGAAGACAGCAGAGCUGCUUUCCGCCUCUUUGAGACCAAGAUCACCCAAGUCCUGCACUUCAGUAUGAAG
rnacentral:sRNA from 1 species